UCAAGAACCUUCCGCAAUGGGCGAAAGCCUGACGGAGCGACGCCGCGUGGUUGAUGAAGUCCUUCGGGACGUAAACCUUUUAUGACUAAGAUCUGGUCGUGAAUAAGGGGCUCCAAACUCUGUGCCAGCAGGAGCGGUAAUACAGAGGCCCCAAGCGUUAUCCGGAAUCACUGGGGUAAAGGGUGUGUAGGUGGUUUUAUUAGUCUUUUGUAAAACCCACGGCCUAACCGUGGAAAUGCGAAAGAUACGGUAAGACUAAGGAUGCGAGAGGUAUAUGGAACUCAUGGAGUAGGGGUGAAAUCCGUUGAUAUCAUGGGGAACACCAAAAGCGAAGGCAAUAUACUGGCGCAUUCCUGACACUGAAACACGAAAGCGUGGGGGGAGAACAGGAUUAGAUACCCGGGUAGU
rnacentral:rRNA from 1 species